rnacentral:tRNA from 1 species
GCCGAGGUAGCUCAGGCGGUAGAGCGAAGGACUGAAAAUCCUUGCGUCCCCAGUUCGACUCUGGGCCUCGGCACCA